AUUGCGCCAGUGUGUAAAAUCACAGGUAGCCAUGGUGUCAUGCUUUAUAUACGAAGUCUUCCCUCUCUCUGCCCCUUGUGUGCCCUUGGCCCCUUUUUACAGACUAUUGCUCACAAUCUCAGGUGUCCAUAUUUGCAGCUAUUAGGUAAGAUUGUGCUGUCUCCCUCUUCCCUUCCCUCUGCCCUGCCCCUUUUGCCUCUUUGCUGGGUAAUGUUGACCAGACAAGGCCCUUUCUCUUGGACUUAAACAAUUCUCAGUUGCACUUUCCUUGGUCCCACCCAUUAUACAUGAACCCCUCUACUUCCUUUCGCAUUGCUUCUGAGUAUGCUGACUACCCAAAGCCCCUUCUGUGUUAUUAAUAAACACAGUACUGAUUGUCCCAUUUUUCAGCCCAUCAGUCCAAGAUCUCCCUACCACUUUGGUGUGUUGGUGCAGUGUUGACUAUGAAAAGCAGGCCUGAACUAGGUGGAUAAGCCUUCACUCAUUUUCUUUCAUUUAUUAAUGAUCCUAGUUUCAAUUAUUGUCAGAUUCUGGGGACAAGAACCAUUCUUGCCCACCUGUGUUACUGCUUUACUGUGCAAAAUACUGAAGGCAAGUCAGACCCAGGGAGCUGGAUUGCCAUCCUUUAUUUUGUGUUUCCAGUGUACACUAUAAAAUUGUCUCCCCAGGAAGGAAGGUUGGCACUUUCUCUGCAUUCUUCUUUCCAGAGCAGAUUGCCUGGUUAAGAAUCUCUUGUUGUCCCCUUUGUAUAUUGUUAUUGUAAAGUGCCAAAUGCCAGGAUACAGCCAGAAAAAUUGCUUAUUAUUAUUAAAAAAAUUUUUUUAAGAAAGACAUCUGGAUUGUAGGGUGGACUCGAUAACCUGGUCAUUAUUUUUUUGAAGCCAAAAUAUCCAUUUAUACUAUGUACCUGGUGACCAGUGUCUCUCAUUUUAACUGAGGGUGGUGGGUCUGUGGAUAGAACACUGACUCUUGCUAUUUUAAUAUCAAAGAUAUUCUAGAGUGGAACUCUUAAGACCAGUAUCUUUGUGUGGGCUUUACCAGCAUUCACUUUUAGAAAAACUACCUAAAUUUUAUAAUCCUUUAAUUUCUUCAUCUGGAGCACCUGCCCCUACUUAUUUCAAGAAGAUUGCAGUAAAACGAUUAAAUGAGGGAACAUAUGCAGAGGUGCUUUUAAAAAGCAUAUGCCACCUUUUUUAUUAAUUAUUAUAUAAAAUGAAGCAUUUAAUUAUAGUAAUAAUUUGAAGUAGUUUGAAGUACCACACUGAGGUGAGGACUUAAAAAUGAUAAGACGAGUUCCCUAUUUUAUAAGAAAAAUAAGCCAAAAUUAAAUAUUCUUUUGGAUAUAAAUUUCAACAGUGAGAUAGCUGCCUAGUGGAAAUGAAUAAUAUCCCAGCCACUAGUGUACAGGGUGUUUUGUGGCACAGGAUUAUGUAAUAUGGAACUGCUCAAGCAAAUAACUAGUCAUCACAACAGCAGUUCUUUGUAAUAACUGAAAAAGAAUAUUGUUUCUCGGAGAAGGAUGUCAAAAGAUCGGCCCAGCUCAGGGAGCAGUUUGCCCUACUAGCUCCUCGGACAGCUGUAAAGAAGAGUCUCUGGCUCUUUAGAAUACUGAUCCCAUUGAAGAUACCACGCUGCAUGUGUCCUUAGUAGUCAUGUCUCCUUAGGCUCCUCUUGGACAUUCUGAGCAUGUGAGACCUGAGGACUGCAAACAGCUAUAAGAGGCUCCAAAUUAAUCAUAUCUUUCCCUUUGAGAAUCUGGCCAAGCUCCAGCUAAUCUACUUGGAUGGGUUGCCAGCUAUCUGGAGAAAAAGGUGGAGAUGGGGCAUGAGGAUCCUCCAGGGGAAAAGCUCACUACCACUGGGCAACAACCCUAGGUCAGGAGGUUCUGUCAAGAUACUUUCCUGGUCCCAGAUAGGAAGAUAAAGUCUCAAAAACAACCACCACACGUCAAGCUCUUCAUUGUUCCUAUCUGCCAAAUCAUUAUACUUCCUACAAGCAGUGCAGAGAGCUGAGUCUUCAGCAGGUCCAAGAAAUUUGAACACACUGAAGGAAGUCAGCCUUCCCACCUGAAGAUCAACAUGCCUGGCACUCUAGCACUUGAGGAUAGCUGAAUGAAUGUGUCUUACCCAUUUCCAUGUUUCUCUUGCUAAUUUCUUUCGUGUGUGCCUUUGCCUCAUUUUCUCUUUUUGUUCACAAGAGUGGUCUGUGUCUUGUCUUAGACAUAUCUCUCAUUUUUCAUUUUGUUGCUAUUUCUCUUUGCUCUCCUAGAUGUGGCUCUUCUUUCACGCUUUAUUUCAUGUCUCCUUUUUGGGUCACAUGCUGUGUGCUUUUUGUCCUUUUCUUGUUCUGUCUACCUCUCCUUUCUCUGCCUACCUCUCUUUUCUCUUUGUGAACUGUGAUUAUUUGUUACCCCUUCCCCUUCUCGUUCGUUUUAAAUUUCACCUUUUUUCUGAGUCUGGCCUCCUUUCUGCUGUUUCUACUUUUUAUCUCACAUUUCUCAUUUCUGCAUUUCCUUUCUGCCUCUCUUGGGCUAUUCUCUCUCUCCUCCCCUGCGU
ensembl:lncRNA XIST X inactive specific transcript